rnacentral:rRNA from 1 species
CCUACGGGUGGCAGCAGUGGGGAAUAUUGCACAAUGGGGGAAACCCUGAUGCAGCGACGCCGCGUGAGUGAAGAAGUAUUUCGGUAUGUAAAGCUCUAUCAGCAGGGAAGAAAGUGACGGGACCUGACUAAGAGGCCCCGGCUAACUACGGGCCAGCAGCCGCGGGAAUACGUAGGGGGCAAGCGUUAUCCGGAUUUACUGGGUGUAGAGGGAGCGUAGACGGCCAGACAAGUAAGAAGGGAAAGCCCGGGGCUUAACCCUGGGACUGCUUUUGAAACUGCCGGGCUGGAGUGCAUGAGAGGUAAGCAGAAUUCCUAGUGUAGCGGUGAAAUGCGUAGAGAUGAGGAGGAACACCAGUGGCGAAGGCGGCUUCCUGGA